UACGUAGGGGGCUAGCGUUGCUCGGAAUUACUGGGCGUAAAGAGCACGUAGGCGGACUCUUAAGUCGGUGGUGAAAUCCUGGAGCUCAACUCCAGAACUGCCUUCGAUACUGGGAGUCUUGAGUCCGGGAGAGGUGAGUGGAACUGCGAGUGUAGAGGUGAAAUUCGUAGAUAUUCGCAAGAACACCAGUGGCGAAGGCGGCUCACUGGCCCGGUACUGACGCUGAGGUGCGAAAGCGUGGGGAGCAAACAGG
rnacentral:rRNA from 1 species